UUAAGCAUAUCAAUAAGCGGAGGAAAAGAAACCAACAGGGAUUGCCCUAGUAACGGCGAGUGAAGCGGCAACAGCUCAAAUUUGAAAUCUGGCCCUCGUGGUCCGAGUUGUAAUUUGUAGAGGAUGCUUUUGGUGCGGUGCCUUCCGAGUUCCCUGGAACGGGACGCCAUAGAGGGUGAGAGCCCCGUCUGGUUGGACACCAAUCCUCUGUAAAGCUCCUUCGACGAGUCGAGUAGUUUGGGAAUGCUGCUCUAAAUGGGAGGUAUAUGUCUUCUAAAGCUAAAUACUGGCCAGAGACCGAUAGCGCACAAGUAGAGUGAUCGAAAGAUGAAAAGCACUUUGAAAAGAGGGUUAAAUAGUACGUGAAAUUGUUGAAAGGGAAGCGUUUGUGACCAGACUUGGGCUUGGUUAAUCAUCCGGCGUUCUCGCCGGUGCACUUUGCCAGCCCAGGCCAGCAUCAGUUUGCUGCGGGGGAUAAAGGUUUCGGGAACGUAGCUCCUCGGAGUGUUAUAGCCCGUUGCGUAAUACCCUGUGGUGGACUGAGGUUCGCGCAUCUGCAAGGAUGCUGGCGUAAUGGUCAUCAACGACCCGUCUUGAAACACGGACCAAGGAGUCGUCUUCGUAUGCGAGUGUUCGGGUGUCAAACCCCUACGCGUAAUGAAAGUGAACGGAGGUGGGAGCCUCGGCGCACCAUCGACCGAUCCUGAUGUUUUCGGAUGGAUUUGAGUAAGAGCAUACGGGGCCGGACCCGAAAGAAGGUGAACUAUGCCUGUAUAGGGUGAAGCCAGAGGAAACUCUGGUGGAGGCUCGCAGCGGUUCUGACGUGCAAAUCGAUCGUCAAAUAUGGGCAUGGGGGGCGAAAGACUAAUCGAACCUUCUAGUAGCUGGUUUCCGCGGAGU
rnacentral:rRNA from 1 species